rnacentral:rRNA from 1 species
GACGAACGCUGGCGGCGUGCUUAACACAUGCAAGUCGAACGGAAAGGCCCUGCUUGCAGGGUACUCGAGUGGCGAACGGGUGUGUAACACGCGGGUGAUCCGUCCUGCACAUCGGGAUAUGCCUGGGAAACUGGGUCUAUUAUAGGGUAUGAGCCAUUUUUAUGCAUGUGGUUGGAUAGAUUUUUCGGUGUAGGAUGGUCUCGCGGCCUACUAGGUUGUUGGUGGGGUAAUGGCCUACCAAGGCGGCGACGGGUAGCCGGCCUGGGAGGGUGGACGGCCACAUUGGGACUGAGAGACGGCCCAGACUCCUACGGGAGGCAGCAGUGGGGAGUAUUGCACAAUGGGCGCAAGCCUGAGACAGAGACGCCGCGUGGGGGAUGACGGCCUUCGGGUUGUGAACUCCUUUCGCUAGGGACGAAGCUUUUUGUGACGGUACCUAGAUAAGAAGCACCGGCUAACUACGUG